UACAGAGGUCUCAAGCGUUGUUCGGAAUUAUUGGGCGUAAAGAGCUCGUAGGCGGCCUGUUGCGUCCGCUGUGAAAUCCCGGGGCUCAACCCCGGGCCUGCAGUGGAUACGGGCAGGCUAGAGUUCGGUAGGGGAGACUGGAAUUCCUGGUGUAGCGGUGAAAUGCGCAGAUAUCAGGAGGAACACCGGUGGCGAAGGCGGGUCUCUGGGCCGAUACUGACGCUGAGGAGCGAAAGCGUGGGGAGCGAACAGG
rnacentral:rRNA from 1 species